GAUGAACGCUGGCGGCGUGCCUAAUACAUGCAAGUCGAGCGAACAGAUAAGGAGCUUGCUCCUUUGACGUUAGCGGCGGACGGGUGAGUAACACGUGGGUAACUUACCUAUAAGACUGGAAUAACUCCGGGAAACCGGGGCUAAUGCCGGAUAACAUGUUGAACCGCAUGGUUCUACAGUGAAAGGCGGCUUUGCUGUCACUUAUAGAUGGACCCGCGCCGUAUUAGCUAGUUGGUGAGGUGACGGCUCACCAAGGCAACGAUACGUAGCCGACCUGAGAGGGUGAUCGGCCACACUGGAGCUGAGACACGGUCCAGACUCCUACGGGAGGCAGCAGUAGGGAAUCUUCCGCAAUGGGCGAAAGCCUGACGGAGCAACGCCGCGUGAGUGAUGAAGGUCUUCGGAUCGUAAAACUCUGUUAUUAGGGAAGAACAAAUGCGUAAGUAACUGUGCGCGUCUUGACGGUACCUAAUCAGAAAGCCACGGCUAACUACGUG
rnacentral:rRNA from 1 species